GAUGGGUGUGAAACUCAUUAGAAUAACAAUACAACUCGUUAUCUAUGUUGGUCAACGUUUAUUCAUAAAUCUGAUCCUUCACCGUCACGUGUGUGUUGUAUUUUUACCCAACUAACCAAUAGCAAUGUUUUAGGAAAGUCACCUAUCCGUGACUCGAACAAUAGGGAAACUGGAAAUUGCUAUUGGUGGAUUUGGCAGAAAUACAAUGCACACAUGACGGUGAAGGACCAAAGUCAUGAAUACACGUUGACUA